GGUAUUGAAUAAUUAUUUCCCGAAUUAGGAAGAUCUAAGAAUAUAUAAAUUUUAGUGUAAAAUAACUGUUUAUGAUAUAUUCUUAGAAGUGAAAUUUUAAUCGGUUCUUAAUAUAUCUGGUUUUUUAAGAAAUUAAUUUAAUUAAGGCGAACAUGAGAAUUAUAAUUAAUCAUAAUUGGGUUCUUUGUUUAGUUAAUAUUUUUGGGGAUAAGCUUGAAGGUAGAGGUUUUAUAAUUAUUAUUAUUUUUUUAGGUUAAUAGGAUUAGAAGUGUUUAUUUUUAAUAGUAGGUUAUAUUUAUCCUAGGAUUAGAUUUAUUUUUUUUUGUUUAAGUUAUUUAUUAAAUUAAGUACAUUAAUUGUUAGUGUAAUGUAAUAAUGAUUAAAUUAGUAUAUAUUUAUGUUGUUAUAAUUGGAUAUGGAAGGUUAGGCUAAGGAACUCGGCAAAUAAUCUUUUUGCCUGUUUAUUAAAAACAUGUCCUUUUGAGUUAAUUUAAGGUCUAACCUGCCCAAUGAGGAGUUUAAUGGCCGCGGUAUUUUGACCGUGCAAAGGUAGCAUAAUCAUUAGUUUUUUAAUUGGAGGCUGGAAUGAAGGGUUGGACAAGAAAGAUACUGUCUACGGUUUAAUUUAUUUAGAAUUUUAUUUUUUAGUAAGAAAGCUUAAAUGGAAAUGAGGGACGAGAAGACCCUAUAGAAUUUUAUAGAUUUUAAUUUAAAGGUUUGUUGGUAGGAGUUUAUUUUUAUAUUAUGAUUUAUUUUGUUGGGGUGACGGAAAAAUUUUGUAAACUUUUUUUUUUAUUAUAACAUGAGUAUAUGAGUGUUUGAUCCACUAAGUGAUUAUAAGAUUAAAUUACCUUAGGGAUAACAGCGUAAUUAAUUUGGGGAGUUCAUAUCUAUAAAUUAGUUUGCGACCUCGAUGUUGGAUUAAAAUUGGCUUUAGGUGCAGAAACUUAGGGGCUAAGUCUGUUCGA
rnacentral:rRNA from 1 species